rnacentral:rRNA from 1 species
UACGGGGGGGUGCGAACGUUUGUUCGGAAUCACUGGGCGUAAAGAGCGCGUAGGCGGCCUUGUAAGCGGGGUGUGAAAUCCCCCGGCUCAACCGGGGAACUGCAUCCCAGACUGCAGGGCUUGAGGGCAGCAGAGGAAACGGGAAUUCCCGGUGUAGCGGUGAAAUGCGUAGAUAUGACAUAGAACACCAAUUGCGAAGGCAGCUUACUACAGGGAUAUUGACACUGAGGCACGAAAGCGUGGGGAUCAAACAGGG